rnacentral:rRNA from 1 species
AGGACGAACGCUGGCGGCGUGCUUAACACAUGCAAGUCGAGCGGAAAGGCCCUUCGGGGUACUCGAGCGGCGAACGGGUGAGUAACACGUGAGCAACCUGCCCCUGGCUCUGGGAUAGCCUCCGGAAACGGGGAUUAAUACCGGACAUUCACUUCCUUCCGCAUGGUUGGUGGUGGAAAGUUUUUUCGGCCGGGGAGGGGCUCGCGGUCUAUCAGCUUGUUGGCGGGGUAACGGCCCACCAAGGCGACGACGGAUAG